UCUUUCAUGAGAAUGCUGGUUCCAUGAGAUCUUUGUGAGAGCAGAGCCCUCAUUUGUUUUCCAGAGCUCCAAGCAACAGGCUGGCAUAUUUAUCAUCUUGUGACAUCGGGUAGAAACAAAAGCUCAUUCUUCCUGGAGGUACCUACCACCAGCUCAAGCCUCUUUUGUUUCUCAGAUGUAGCUCCACUGAACACCAUCUUUUAUUCCAAACCUCUAAAUAAUAUGAAUGGGAGUCAGAAAAUUAAUAAACAUCAGAAUUACACAUGCAAGGGUUUCAGAAAAUACAACUAUUGGAUCCCAAGACAUACUUUAGAAGUUAAAAUAUGGGAUUAAAUUUGUUGAGUACAGCUUAAA